rnacentral:rRNA from 1 species
UACGAAGGAUGUGAGCGUUAUCCGGAUUUAUUGGGUUUAAAGGGAGCGUAGGCGGUCUUAUAAGUCAGUGGUGAAAUCUCGUUGCUUAACAACGACCGUGCCAUUGAUACUGUAGGACUUGAGUACAGUUGCCGUUGGCGGAAUGUGUCAUGUAGCGGUGAAAUGCAUAGAUAUGACACAGAACACCGAUUGCGAAGGCAGCUGACGAAACUGUAACUGACGCUGAGGCUCGAAAGCGUGGGGAUCAAACAGG